AUUGAACGCUGGCGGCAGGCCUAACACAUGCAAGUCGAGCGGAUGAAGGGAGCUUGCUCCUGGAUUCAGCGGCGGACGGGUGAGUAAUGCCUAGGAAUCUGCCUGGUAGUGGGGGAUAACGUCCGGAAACGGGCGCUAAUACCGCAUACGUCCUGAGGGAGAAAGUGGGGGAUCUUCGGACCUCACGCUCUCAGAUGAGCCUAGGUCGGAUUAGCUAGUUGGUGGGGUAAAGGCCUACCAAGGCGACGAUCCGUAACUGGUCUGAGAGGAUGAUCAGUCACACGGGAACUGAGACACGGUCCAGACUCCUACGGGAGGCAGCAGUGGGGAAUAUUGGACAAUGGGCGAAAGCCUGAUCCAGCCAUGCCGCGUGUGUGAAGAAGGUCUUCGGAUUGUAAAGCACUUUAAGUUGGGAGGAAGGGCAGUAAGUUAAUACCUUGCUGUUUUGACGUUACCAACAGAAUAAGCACCGGCUAACUUCGUG
rnacentral:rRNA from 1 species